rnacentral:lncRNA from 1 species
CAGCUUUGCAUUCAACAAUUAGAACAAAUGGUUAAAAAAGAAUGCUUCAUUAAGUUGGCAUCACAUUCUGAAAUAUCAAACUGCCUUAGAAUUAGCACAGGGGUCAAAAGGGUAGGCAGAAUGUUGAAGAGAGAUACCAUCAGAUGGAGUCAGAGCCCAGGGUCUUUCUGUGCUGGCAACCUAAUGAAGUUUCCCUCACAGAUGGUAAGUCAGUUCCUCCCUCUAAUAACAAAACCCUUCAGGACAGUUUCUUUAGUUAAAAGGAUCUAUUUAUUCUCUUGGGGGGAAGGAAAUAAGGGGGAAAACUGGGAGAGAGGGAAAGGGCUUUUUCCCUAAUUCUAGUUUGUAUCAUUUGCUGAAGGCUUUGAUGUAAGUCUCUUCAAAAAGGAAAUAUUUCUUCCCCUGAGGGAAGAUAGCUGUAACCCUGCUGAUGUCUUUCCUGGGCAAGUUAGAGGUAGAAAGGUAAUGGUCAAAGAGAAGAUGUCAUUAGACCACUCCAAAACAGAAGUGAAGAAGUGAGCUUGAGUCCAACUGUCUCCUUCCUCAAGCUUCCACAGAAUUCCCUCUUUCUCCUCUCCUGAUAAUCUGGGUCUGGAUUCCAUGUGUUCUUGAGCUCUUCUUGCUUUGCAUACCAUUUCUUCUGUCUGUGCCCAUUUUUCUCAAUCACAGAUAGUAUUGAAACAACAAUAACAACACAUAUUGGAUUUUUGGAUUUUAA